GUCAAGCCCGCGCCCCUUCCGCCUCGUCUCCUCCCUGCCCCCUCCUCUCCCACGAUGCCACCCUCGAGCCCGCGCCACCUCCACCUCGUCUCCUCCCCGCUCCCUCCUCUCCAACGCCGCCGCCCUCGAUGCGCCGUAAGGGACGACCAAGACAGCGGUUGGGUCGGCCAGAGGUAGAAGGCCAUGGCGAUUCAGCUGUCUGUGUGCGCAAGCAGCGGCGGUUCAUGGAGCGGAGCGAGUCCACACCCCCGUCGUUCUAGCCACACCCUCCGCGCCGCCUCCGCUUCCUCCUCCUCCUCUAUUUUUUUCGAUUUCGUCACCCGUCGGAGGCUGUUGCUGCUCGGGUCCCUGGGGGCGCCUCUGCGUGGCUGACGAGAGGAGGGGAGCAGUAGCCGCAGCAAGCAGGCCAUCGAGGAGGGCAAACGGCAGUGGGCCUCCACCCCGUCUCCUCCCUGCUCCCUCCUCUCCAACACCGCCGCCCUCGAUGCGCCGUAAGGGACGCCGUCGACAUGUCGGGGAUACGCAUCGAGCCCGCGCCGCCUCCACGUCGUCUCCUCCCCGCUCCCUCCUCUCCAACGCCGCCACCCUCGAUGCGCCGUAAGGGACACCGUCGACAUGUCGGGGAUACGCAGCGACAGAGCUCAGCAGGAGCACAGCAGAAAUCCACUCCUAACCCUGCUCGCUCGAUUGACAAGAGCAGGGCAACGGAUUGGAUCGAGGGCGCCCUGGCCUCGCCGCCGCUGCCACCUCAAUUCGCUAGCCGCUGCGUGGAGUAACCCUGGCCGCUGCCUCGAGUCACCUCCGUCGCCGCCGUGAGUCACCUCCAUCGUUGCCGCCAGGAAUCCCGCCCUGGCAAGGAAAAUUCCCAAGGAUUUGAUUGAUGGAGGCAUCACUAUUUGGUGUUGGAUUAUCCAUUUUUGCAGCACCAGCAAUGUUCUUUUUGUUUGGAAUGGCCAGUUCUCAAUUUCUAAAUCAGCUACACUAUACUUCUUAUCAGGUUAAAUUAUCUUGCUUUGUUUCAGUCUAUAUGUAGCAUAAAAAUAGGUGACAUGGUUGGUUUGUAUGUUACACUAAGAACACCACCAUAAGGAAAAGGGCAUUGCACUUCUUUGUUUAUAUUUGGUUUGUUCCUAUUCGGUUUGAUGUAGUACUUAAUUGCUACAACAUUUCAAGUUUCUUGUUGUUUCAUUGUAUUCACUUAUGAUAUAUUUUUCAACUAUACAAGCACUUGGGGGAGUCAGGAAAACUGAACCAAAGACAAACACUUUUACCGGUGAUGUUCGGGCUUUUUUUAACUGAGAUGUGAAAGAUGCAUCUUAUCCCUUGAGAUAUAUUGCCUUAAAUCUCUUGAUUUUUUUCCCUGACAUGCUAAUAUAGAGCCAGAUAUGCAUGAUUCAUCAUACACAUUACUGUCAAUUAUCUAUUGGAAUCUUUUGUCCAUAGAGGUGAUUUUGUUUGGAUCAUUAGUCUAGGUAGUGACAUUUUUUAUUGAUAAGGCACAAGUUUAUUUUCUUUUUCACCCGAGCUACACUAAAGUAAGCAUCACCGUCAAUGAAAAGAAGGCAUACAAAUCAUGAAGUUUUUGCCUUGGCUGUGUGCCUCGUUUAAUUGUCACUUAUUUAUUUCUAGGAAGUUAUUCAAUUCUCAUCGAGCUUUCCUUAUGCUUUAAAGAAGAAAUUUAAAUACGCAAUAUUUUUAAUAUCUGAGGAGGCGAGAGGAGAUGAAAAAGGGCUGUAAGGUCGUAUUUUGGUGCGUCUCUGGCCAAUGAUGGCUGGAUCCAUCUGAUGCUCUUCCAAGCAGAGCAGUUCAGAUUUGCUGACUGAGCAGCGGAGAAACAUGUUUCUACAAAUGUGCCAAAACUGAUGGAUUUAACUACAUGUAUUGAUGUAUUGCAUUAUGCAACUGUAAGUCUGUUCUAAACUCUAAGCCCCAUGUAAAUCUGAUGGAAGAUUGGGCCAUUUAAUUUGAACCAAAAAGGGUGAUAUGCUCUCAGUUGCUUGAAUCUGUCCAGACCUGAAAAUUAGAUGUACUUGAAAGCUUGAUAUAUGAGUAGGAGAUAGUUGAUAAAGGUGUACCUCUUGUAUAACUGAUAUCCCUUUGAUCUUCGUUAAAUUUUGUAGGAUAUGCAUUGUGCUUGAGCAUGAGAAAUCCUUUCCCUCCCUGCAUUAUCUUUAUAUGUUAUAAAAAUGUUACACAUGUUUUGGUCCUCCAAAAGAUUAUUAGCCCAUAAUGUUAAUAACUCUUAUGUAUGAUGAUUGAGUGAAAUAUCCUUUUAUCUCCAGGCAUUUCUUUUAUGUAGUGGAUAUACAAAAUAAACUGUAUGACCUAGACUGUAGGAGCAACUGGUGCUUGUGGGAUUGGUGCUUGCAGUUGUUGUGGCAGCUGUUCUUGAGGGCCGAGCUGAAUGUAUUUGAUAAAGGUCUUUGCUUCAUUUUUUUUCUUUCAACGGGAUAAUGACUUGUCGUUUCAAAACACUUAGUAUGUGACCUAUCCAUCAAAUUAUAAUAUAAUAAUUCAGCAAAAUCCCUUUAUUUGAACGAGCAAGAAUCUGUGGUGUGCUCCUGACCUAUGUUCCCCUUUUCAAAAUGUUAGAAAGGCUAUCUUAACUUAGUCGUUGCAUAGAAAUUGGUUUUGUCUAUUAGGCUCAUUUCAUAUCUGGAUCACUUAUUUGAACGACAAUGAACACUCCACAACUGAACUCACAUAAGAGGGCUGAUAGAUGAUAUCUUGUCUGCUCAGUGAUUACCUAGAAUACUGGACUUCCCACCAACUUACAAAAAUAUUUUUUGCAGGUAUAUUUCAUUAAUCACUCCCCCAGCAGACAUGAGUUCUCGUGGCGGGGUGUUUCAUGCCGUCAUGUUAGGAAUUUAUUAUUGUAUUGCAUAUGAGGUCCUUCUUUAGGUUUCCACUUGUUUCUUACUUAAUUAGCUGUCCAUUCUGGAUUUAACGUGAAUAUUGCCUUUGUAUUGCAUAUUAAAUUCUACUAUUUGUUUUAGCUUCUGUAGUUUUCUAUUCAUAAUCCCUAGACAUUAUCAUGUGUGUGUCGAUACGCUUCGUGGAUGGCGAGGUUUAAUAUCGCUUGCUUGUCGCCUUCUCUACCCUCGACAUGUGGAAGGCCAAUAAAGGCGGGGACGAGUCAUGGAUCUUGCUGGCGAUGGCUACUGGUUGUGGACGAGAUUUAAGCAGGGGAAUCACAAAAGAUGUUCUCUUUCCAAGAUCUUCAUAUCAUAUUUGUCGUGGGAUCUGACUGCUUUACCAUAUUUUCUUGGUGUGGACGAUGUUAUAGAGUGAGCUACCAUCACUUCUCAUUACUGACUGUAAUCAAUAUAUAUGUGUUUAUGCCAUAAAAGAUGGAUAUUUGUCGAAGCCAUUGUCGUGUCAUGUAAUUACUUGCAGAUCAACUAUAUAGUUUUGUUCGGAUUGUAAAGUGGAAA